CUACGGGCGGCAGCAGUGGGGAAUCUUAGACAAUGGGCGCAAGCCUGAUCUAGCCAUGCCGCGUGAGCGAUGAAGGCCUUAGGGUUGUAAAGCUCUUUCAGCGAGGAAGAUAAUGACUGUACUCGCAGAAGAAGCCCCGGCUAACUCCGUGCCAGCAGCCGCGGUAAUACGGAGGGGGCUAGCGUUGUUCGGAAUUACUGGGCGUAAAGCGCACGUAGGCGGAUCAGAAAGUCAGAGGUGAAAUCCCAGGGCUCAACCUUGGAACUGCCUUUGAAACUCCUGAUCUUGAGUUCGAGAGAGGUGAGUGGAAUUCCGAGUGUAGAGGUGAAAUUCGUAGAUAUUCGGAGGAACACCAGUGGCGAAGGCGGCUCACUGGCUCGAUACUGACGCUGAGGUGCGAAAGCGUGGGGAGCAAACAGGAUUAGAUACCCGGGUAGUC
rnacentral:rRNA from 1 species